ensembl:lncRNA
GGUACUUCAUAUGUUUUCUGCCCCUAGCCAGUUCAGGUACUUCAUAUGUUUUCCACCCCUAGCCAGUUCAGGUACUUCAUAUGUUUUCCGCCCCUAGCCAGUUCAGGUACUUCAUAUGAUUUCUGCCCCUAGCCAGUUCAGGUACUUCAUAUGAUUUCUGCCCCUAGCCAGUUCAGGUACUUCAUAUGAUUUCCGCCCCUAGCCAGUUCAGGUACUUCAUAUGAUUUCUGCCUCUAGCCAGUUCAGGUACUUCAUAUGAUUUCUGCCCCUAGCCAGUUCAGGUACUUCAUAUGAUUUCUGCCCCUAGCCAGUUCAGGUACUUCAUAUGAUUUCUGCCUCUAGCCAGUUCAGGUACUUCAAAUGAUUUCUACCCCUAGCCAGUUCAGGUACUUCAAAUGAUUUCUACCCCUAGCCAGUUCAGGUACUUCAUACGAUUUCUACCCCUAGCCAGUUCAGGUUCUUC